GAGAUGGGCGGUAGAGACAAGAGAACUUCUUAAAGCUGAUCGGCCCGCUAUCCUGGUGUAUGUAGAAGAGAACAACAAAGAGGCUUUGGCUUAAGCAAGGUAGAAGGUUACUCACUGGAGUUGUCAUCCAUUUCUGAGGAGAUGAUGUCAUCACAGGUGGGGCCAUGAUUCAAUGCUGGUAGACCAGAAAGACGGACAGAACCUGGACCUUUAUGAUUGAGAGACUGUCAGUUCAGCCCUGGACUUUCUAAGCGGAGCCUUGUUUUAUGUGAGAAAAUAGGAGCUUAUGGUUACCUUCACUAAGUAUUUCUCAAGAAUGAUGCCAUGGAAUGAACAAGGUUCCUGUGUAGUUUGUGUGUGGAAACCCUAACUGUUACCACUUGAAUGCGAUGAAUUUGAAUAUAGAGCUUUCAAAGGUAAAUUUGAACUCUAGGAGUGGCUCAGGGUAUGAAUGUACAGAGCCAAGACCAUGGGAAGACACAAAGAGAGGGUGACUAAGUGGAAGAAGUCCUUGGGAGAGUCCAGUCUGUAGCACACUG
rnacentral:lncRNA from 1 species